AAACGGAAGGGUUUGAUCCUGGCUCAGAACGAACGCUGGCGGCGUGGUUCAGACAUGCAAGUCGUACGGUCUGUGAAUCGGGGUAACUCGAUUGACAGGCAGUGGCGAAAGGGUGAGUAAUGAGUAGAUGACGUACCCUUUGCUCGGGGAUAGUGGCGGUAGCUUCGGCUACCUACCGAAAGGGCCAGUAAUACCCGAUGACCUCCUCGGUCUGCGGACCGGGGAGCAAAGGUGGGGACCUUCGGGCCUACCGGCAGAGGAGCGGUCUACUUCCCAUCAGCUAGUUGGUGAGGUAAAGGCUCACCAAGGCGACGACGGGUAGCCGGCCUGAGAGGGCGAUCGGCCUCACUGGGACUGAGACACUGCCCAGAGCCCUACGGGGUGCUGCAGUUUCGAAUCGUUCGCAAUGCGCGAAAGCGUGACGACGCGACGCCGCGUGCGGGAGGAAGGCCUUCGGGUUGUAAACCGCUUUUAGGAGGUAUGAAGAGAUGGGGGUGAACAAUUCCCAAAUCUGACCUCAACUUCAGAAAAAGCUCCGGCUAACUUCGUGCCAGCAGCCGCGGUAAGACGAAGGGAGCGAGCGUUGUUCGGUAUCACUGGGCUUAAAGAGCACGUAGGCGGCUUGGUAUGUCAGUUGUGAAAUCCCUGGGCUCAACUCAGGAAUCGCUUCUGAAACUGCCAGGCUUGAGGCAUUCUGGGGGUGACUGGAACUCUUGGUGGAGCGGUGACAUGCGUAGAUAUCAAGAGGAACGCCGGUGGUGAAGACGGGUCACUGGGAAUGUCCUGACGCUGAGGUGCGAAAGCUAGGGGAGCGAACGGGAUUAGAUACCCCGGUAGUCCUAGCCGUAAACGAUGUGCACUAGGUCGCGGAGGUUCUGACACCAUCGCGGCCGAAGCAAAAGUGCUAAGUGCACCGCCUGGGGAGUACGGUCGCAAGGCUAAAACUCAAAGGAAUUGACGGGGACUCACACAAGCGGUGGAGCAUGUGGCUCAAUUCGAAGCAACGCGAAGAACCUUAUCCUGGGCUUGACAUGCACGGAUGAAACCGGUGAAAGCCGGGGACUGCCCUUACGGGUGAAACGUGCACAGGUGCUGCAUGGCUGUCGUCAGCUCGUGCUGUGAAGUGUCGGGUUAAGUCCCU
rnacentral:rRNA from 1 species